rnacentral:tRNA from 1 species
GGGUUGGCUCAGUGGUUAAGAGCACUCGUUCUUGCAAAGGACCUGGGUUCAAUUCCCAGCACCCA